rnacentral:rRNA from 1 species
CAGCAGCCGCGGUAACACGAAGGGGGCUAGCGUUGUUCGGAUUUACUGGGCGUAAAGGGCGCGUAGGCGGACUGAUAAGUCAGGGGUGAAAUCCCAAGGCUCAACCUUGGAACUGCCUUUGAUACUGUUUGUCUUGGGUUCGAGAGAGGUAAGUGGAACUGCGAGUGUAGAGGUGAAAUUCGUAGAUAUUCGCAAGAACACCAGUGGCGAAGGCGGCUUACUGGCUCGAAACUGACGCUGAGGCGCGAAAGCGUGGGGAGCAAACAGGAUUAGAUACCCGCGUAGUCCCUGUCUCUUAUAC